rfam:Gossypium arboreum cultivar AKA8401 contig_257313_1, whole genome shotgun sequence.
GUAGGCAAGGGAAGUCGGCAAAAUGGAUCCGUAACCUCGGGAAAAGGAUUGGCUCUGAGGGCUGGGCACCGGGGGCCCAGUCCCGAACCCGUCGGCUGCCGGUACACUGCUCGAGCUGCUUUCGCGGUGAGAGCGGGUCGCCAUGUGCCGGCUGGGGGAUGGACUGGGAACGGCUCCUUCGGGGGCCUUUCCCGGGCGACGAAUAGUCGACUCAGAACUGGUACGGACAAGGGGAAUCUGACUGUUUAAUUAAAACAAAGCAUUGCGAUGGUCCC